rnacentral:rRNA from 1 species
GACGUAGGGGGGCCAGCGUUGCUCGGAAUUACUGGGUGUAAAGGGUUCGUAGGCGGUGUGGCAAGUCGGGAGUGAAAUCUCUGGGCUCAACCCAGAGUCUGCUUCCGAAACUGCUGUGCUUGAGUGUGGGAGAGGCGCGUGGAAUUGCAGGUGUAGCGGUGAAAUGCGUAGAUAUCGUAAGGAAGACCAGUGGCGAAGGCGGGUCUCUGGACAGUUCCUGACGCUGAGGCACGAAGGCCAGGGGGAGCAAACGGG